UUACGGCUAUAUCUCGUUGAAACACCAGUUCUCGUACGAUCAACGAAGUUACGCAACGUCGUGCCUGGUCAGUACCUAGAUGGGUGACCGCUUGGAAAUACCAGAUGCUGUAAG